CAGGUGGUGCAUGGUUGUCGUCAGCUCGUGUCGUGAGAUGUUGGGUUAAGUCCCGCAACGAGCGCAACCCUUAUUGCUAGUUACCAUCAUUGAGUUGGGGACUCUAGCGAGACUGCCAGCGAUAAGCUGGAGGAAGGUGGGGAUGACGUCAAAUCAUCAUGCCCCUUAUGACCUGGGCUACAAACGUGAUACAAUGGCUGGAACAAAGGGAGGCGAAGGGGUGACCUGGAGCGAAACCCAAAAAUACAGUCUCAGUUCGGAUUGAAGUCUGCAACUCGACUUCAUGAAGUCGGAAUCGCUAGUAAUCGCGGAUCAGAACGCCGCGGUGAAUACGUUCUCGGGUUU
rnacentral:rRNA from 1 species